UGGGGAAUCUUGGACAAUGGGGGCAGCCCUGAUCCAGCCAUGCCGCGUGGGUGAAGAAGGCCUUAGGGUUGUAAAGCCCUUUCAGUCGUGACGAUGAUGACGGUAGCGACAGAAGAAGCCCCGGCUAACUUCGUGCCAGCAGCCGCGGUAAUACGAAGGGGGCUAGCGUUGUUCGGAUUUACUGGGCGUAAAGCGCACGUAGGCGGAUCGUUAAGUGAGGGGUGAAAUCCCAGGGCUCAACCCUGGAACUGCCUUUCAUACUGGCGAUCUGGAGUUCGAGAGAGGCGAGUGGAAUUCCGAGUGUAGAGGUGAAAUUCGUAGAUAUUCGGAGGAACACCAGUGGCGAAGGCGGCUCACUGGCUCGAUACUGACGCUGAGGUGCGAAAGCGUGGGGAGCAAACAGGAUUAGAUACCCCCGUAGUCC
rnacentral:rRNA from 1 species